rnacentral:rRNA from 1 species
UGGGGAAUUUUGGACAAUGGGCGCAAGCCUGAUCCAGCAAUGCCGCGUGCAGGAUGAAGGCCUUCGGGUUGUAAACUGCUUUUGUACGGAACGAAAAGGCUCUGGUUAAUACCUGGAGCAUAUGACGGUACCGUAAGAAUAAGCACCGGCUAACUACGUGCCAGCAGCCGCGGUAAUACGUAGGGUGCGAGCGUUAAUCGGAAUUACUGGGCGUAAAGCGUGCGCAGGCGGUUUUGUAAGACAGAGGUGAAAUCCCCGGGCUCAACCUGGGAACUGCCUUUGUGACUGCAAGGCUGGAGUGCGGCAGAGGGGGGAUGGAAUUCCGCGUGUAGCAGUGAAAUGCGUAGAUAUGCGGAGGAACACCGAUGGCGAAGGCAAUCCCCUGGGCCUGCAACCUGGACGCUCAUGCACGAAAGCGU